UAGCUACGCGUCCAAUGAAUCAGCUACUUUAUAGCGUGGCUAAGGCGUGAGCGUACGUGCGAGAGAUGGGGCGAGGCCUAAAAGUAUCUGCCUCCACCUUCUCUGUCUCUCUCUCAUCCCGUUCCUCUGCGCCGCCUCCUCCGAUUCCCCUCCUCUUCUCCGUGCGUGGCGGCCGGCGCAGCUCCUCGCACCGCUGUCUGUCCACCCUGGCUCUCUCAGAUCGGGGCGGGGCGGAGCAGCUCUGCCUUCUUCCCGUACUCCAUCUCCAUACGUGCAGCGACGACCUAGAGGAGCUCAAGCCACAGUGAUAGUCCACGGCACUGUCGCCGUCGUCCUCUGCAGGAGGAGCACGAACCGCAUAGAUGGCCGGCUCCGUCCUGCUCCCAUGCCGCCGUUCGUCCAUCCUUUCUCUCUCUCUUGUUUUCCUUCAGAUCGGGGCGACUGCUAACUCUCUCUUUCUCAUUCUAUUUUCGUUGGUGGAGAGAUGGUGAUGGCCAUGACCACCUCGACGGUGAGUGAGGAAGAUGCCUUAUUGCGGGGAGAGAAGCAGCCCCAGAUUGAGGAGGACGGCACAGGUCGUGAGCAUGGUCAUGGCCUGCAGAUUGAGGAGGACACAUAGUUUUGACAAAAUUGUUCUGACUGUGCAUCUUGAGAGAGUCCAUGCCAACACAAAUCUUGUAGUUCUCUGAACUCAAUCUGAAAUAUGCAGCAAGGUUCGGUUACAAUGUGUGUCAAAUGAGAAUUACAAUAUUGCCUUUGUAGCUGCAUGGGUAUCAGUUUUUGUUUGUACCGAUCCUUCCAAACUGAAGCUUAGAGAGAUAAAAAUGUUGCACCUGAAGGGCUGAGUGAACUACUCAAUUCAGUUCUAUAACAAUCAUACUGAAAAUCUUCUUGCAUUAUGAGGUAUUAUAGAGCUUUUACAUUUGCAUCAAGUAGGUAAAUUGAAUACUGGAUACAAGCAUUUUUUACCUGAGGACUAUUGGCACUGGGAUGAUGGUCUUGAAAGCAACUGAUUUUUUUACUCAGGUUGGACAGUGGCAACCCUUAUGCCGAUUAGUGUUAUAGCAGGCUUAUACUAAUUUCACAUGGUUUUAACUUUUAGAUCCCAUGAUUAUGGGAGUGAAGAAAUUAUCCCUUUCUAGAUUUCAGUGAAUUUUCUUGUUAGUUUGACAAGGAAUAUGCCUGUGGUAUCAUACAUGAUUAUAGAAAAGACGGAAAACAAAUGGAAGUCUUCCUCCCUCAGUUUUUACUCCUCGAUUCUUCUGGUCUUGAUAGUCUUAUUUUGAUUUCUCAAUUUGUGGUUUUUCUAUACACAUGUGUGCAGAUUUGAGAAAGAAGAGAAGAGCAAUAAUGUUUAGGUUUUUCUAGAUAUGUGUGCAGAUUUGAGAAAGAAGAGAAGAGCAAUAGUCUUCGGGAAGAGUUUGGUGAAGAAUAAGGCUGAUUAUUUUUCCACUUUCCAAUCGAUGAAGUGCAUUCAAUCGAUAAAGUAGAUUUAGUUGUUGCAGCGGCACAAGCUCGGCCGUGGCUGCUACGACCCCAAUCUUUGGAUUAUUAUAAGCAUAGGCUGAUCGUGCACGAGGUGAAGAUGCUCACGCCUAAAGCCAAACCUGACGCCCUCGACGCCACCAUCCGGAGCUCAUCUAUAUUAGCUUUGGAUGGGGCUUCCUUUGUAGUUUAUGUACUGGUGGUUGUGGUGGUAAUUAUUACACUGUGCUUUUGCAGGAGAAGAACUGAAAAUGGUGACUUCUAUUGACUGGAAACCAAGUACUUGAAUAAUUAUUGUUCAGGAAAAAUAUAGUGUAUCGUGUUCUUGGUUGCUAAUACUGUAGUACCUAUGCAGAUCCUUCUGUCAGACCGCUGAAUGGAAAUAACUCAAAAGAAGAGAAUGGAGAUGCUGUCUCUAUGCAAUUCGAUAACUGUCAGUUCAGUUACAAAGAACUAAAGACCACAUCACAAAUAGCUUCGAGAAUUCCAUUGGCAAAAAGGUCAGUUUGGAGUAGUCUUAUCUUGGCUACUUGGAAGAUGGAAACGCAGUUACUAUUACUGUUGUUUGGUAUUUGGACAUAUCUUCUGAGAGUGAGAUGGGAACAGACAAAUUCAGGGAGAUGGGAACAGACAUAUUCAGUGAAGGUUGGCUGCGUUUAAACUAUUGUGCUCAAGUUGGAAACAAAUGCCUUUUCUUAGGAACUUGGCAGAAGCUAUACAUAUGCAAAUAGAGGUUCAGACACAGCUCCAUGAACAACUAUAGGUGCCUUCUUUGUUCAUGUUUUCGAGCUCUAAUUGGAUGAUGCUGUUGUCGGCGUAUAUUUUUUAUGGUAGGAGCAUUUUUUUCUAGCUUCACAAUAAUUACUGUGCUUUGUGUAGGUAUGAACCCAAAUCAAUAUUUAAAUGGGUGCUAAAUGUUUUUGCAGCAUGGUGGACUUUCUAAUCUGGUCAUAUGUAGUUCGUGUAUAGUAUGGUUUUUUCCCUGUAGUGUGAGAUGUACAUAUAAUGUUCUGUUUGAGGUAUUAUCUAAGAAAAGAUAUAUGUUACCUUACUUGAUUAUAAGCCCAAUGGGUGUAGUUUUUAUUCAGAGUUUACAAGGUUUUACCUUUAUUCUAUGGGUCAUGGUUGAUAUAAUUUCGGUGUUGUGGGUGUAAUCUGUGUCUGUGCCUUUCCUUUUACCGUACUAGGUUAUAGAAAGAAUCAAGAUACUUCACCAAUAGUACCCAACGGGGUAGUUCCUAAGUAUGUUCGUAUUCUCAAAAAAAAGUUCCUAGGUAUGUUCUAAAUCUGAAAAAUGCAUUGCUGGGCGAGGUUGAUCGGUGUACUGGUUUUUCCGGUUCUUGAUCAGUUCUUUGGAGGCCUUGGGCAUGCUUCUUUUUAUAUUUGCAUGGUCUUUUUUCCUCUUUGCUGUUUUCUCUCUUUAGUGUUUCUUUGAUGUUCCUUUCUCGCACCUUUGAUGUUCUGCCUUGGGUGGCCUCUGUCUUGGUUUUACUUUAUUCAUUUUGCCCCAUGUUUACUUUCUAAUGUGUUUUUUGGUUUUCUUCCUUGAUCUGCUAUUUCCUUUGGUGAUCCUUCUUCAUUUAAACAAGUCCACAACUCGAUUGAUUAUAAGCUUCUUUUGUUGCAGCAGUUUAUUUUUUUUCAUCAUCAAGAUUUCUCCAGUUAGUAUUUCUGUUUCGGUGUGCUGUGUGCUUCUUGCCGACGGACCUCCCAUUGCUUAUGUCCUACCAGUAGAGCCAUGCCUCCUUGUCCUGUCUGUCAAAAGCUCGGUACAACCAGUAGCGAGGCACCUCCCUGUGGCGCUGUUCGUUGAAAGCUUUCUUUCUCUUUGUCACAAAUGUCUUCUCAUUAUAUCUGUCCAAUUGAUGAUCCACUAGAUUUGCAGAAAAGUUAUUGGCAGUUGUUGUUCUUCUCUACAUUAGUUUCUGAUGCUAGCAUGCUAAGGUUGAGUUCUUUGGGCUCCAAAUAUAUCUGACCUCUGCUGCUUGUGCUCUCUGGGAGUGGUUUUAAAUGCAUGACCUGUUCAGUUCUUGGUUUAAUAGACCAUUCCUGAUCCUUGCUUUAUUAGGUACGAUAGUUUAUUUGUUUGCUAGCAGUAAUGAAUAUGAAUAUAUAAAUCUCGAGUGUGAGACGCAGACAUGCUAAGACUGUUUGCUUUGAUAAUUUCUGCAGAAAUCGUGCUGCUGCUGUGUGGGUUCCAAACGGUUUGGGAUAAACAAUGUAUAAGUUUACAAAAAGGGUGUGUUUGGAUGGCUAUGAAGCACAUUUGAGAAGAACACCGACAUCGCUAGCAGGAGAAAGUAUGUGAGGUUGGUAGAGUCAGUCAAGAAAUAAUGGCGGUACAGUGCACACAUUUCUUACUGCACGCUCUUUAUUCAUAGAUGCUCAUUUCACACUAUGGUCAAUGAGAAUUUUGAACUUCAAUAAACUGUCACACUGUUCUGGACAUGAGGUCUAACAAAAACUAUAGUUCAAUGUAGUGUUUUUCUCGCUUCUUGAUCGAUGUGGCAGAGGCCAUGGACUGCUUGCAAAAUUGUUUUUCCAUCUCUACUAUUUUCUGCCUUUGGAACUACUUAAAUUGAUUUCCUCGUGUUGGUCAUUGUUCUCACUUGGGUGGCCUCUGUCCUUAUUUUUCGCGAAUACGCAAGCGGUGUAUCAUUUUAUUGAUAGGUAGGAGAACAAGAGUUACAACUUACAAGGUGGUAGAUACAUAGCUCGUACACCGGAGGGCGAGGAUGGAUCUACAAUGAGCAGAAGAAGCCGGGGUGCUCAGCCCAAACACAAACAGGUGCAGAGGCAUACACACCUUAUGUCUGUUCACGGGGCAGAUCCGGCUGCCACAUCUUUCCGCCGUGCCAGAGGAAGUCGCGGAUCACCCGGUUGGCUCUCAAGUGGUGGUGUUCAAAGCUACCCCUGAGAAGAUGUGCAUGGGCAUGGCGGAGAGGACAUGACGGACAAGGGCAAGCCUAACACUGGCUACAACUUGGACUCGGCAAACUACAUCAACACGCAUGUAUAGGAGUUUGGAAUAUCCAACAUUUUCUGCUUUUUAUUUACUUCAUCCAAUAUCUGGGAACAAAAUGUGCUUUUAAAUUUGAUCCCCCGUGUGACUUAAUACUUUGAAAUAAUUUUUCAUUACCUAUACUUCUUUAUUAGUUUUAGUUUUGUUCUC